rnacentral:rRNA from 1 species
UACAGAGGGGGCAAGCGUUGUUCGGAAUUACUGGGCGUAAAGGGCGCGUAGGCGGCCUGCUAAGUCGAACGUGAAAUCCCCGAGCUCAACUCGGGAACUGCGUCCGAUACUGGCAGGCUUGAAUCCGGGAGAGGGAAGCGGAAUUCCGGGUGUAGCGGUGAAAUGCGUAGAUAUCAGGAGGAACACCGGUGGCGAAGGCGGCUUUCUGGACAGAUACCGACGCUGAGGCACGAAAGCUAGGGGAGCAAACAGG